AAUAGGAGCCCCGGCAGAUGCACUCCCCUCUAACCUGAGUCACACAGGCUUCUACCCCCAGGCGCAGCACCAGCAGCUCCACACAGACCGAAUACCGGGUGUGAGAUUUAUCCCUGUCCGUUCCAGCGACCCGCUCCCUUGGAAUUUCUGUUUUGGAUUUCUCCCGGUAGGCUGCCACAACUUUGGCAGAACCCGCGGAUUCCGUUGAAAUUACGGCGCAGAAUGCCACGGAAAUUCCGUAACGUUGCGAAAUAUUUCAGUCCGCCUGCUUCUCUGAGGAACAUGAUAUACAACUGAACUGAAAGUCUCAUAUCCCAACAUCACUCGAAGCGGAAUCCUCUUAACUGAAUAAGGGUCAAGACAAGACUUUCAAGAGUGGAGUUGGCCGCUUCCUCUGUGAAGUACAAUCUACAGCUGGUGACUCUGAAGGCAACUUUUCAAGUGACAUUCUUAUUGGCACCUGCCCCUUCUUAUUGGGCCAAGGACAAAGCAAAGUGGCAUGCGAAGCCUAGUUCAUGAAUAAAUCGAGCGUCCUCACUAUGAUGCCAGCUUUUACCUGUCAAUAAACUAUCACCGUGACUUCACUUGGUGAUUGAAAUAUGAAGACCCAGCAUCACUAAUUAUAUUCAGGUUAUUUAUAGAUUCGACUCAAACAAUAGCGACCAGCAUAUACACUGGUAAUUCUUAAUAAAUUUGAUGACAUCACUUUCAUGUAAGCAAACAUUUAUUGGUGUUAACUUACAGAAAUAAAAAUGUUACAAGGAGAAAAUAGAAGGCAAAUAUUAAUAAUGUGAAAAUAUGUCACAUCAAAAAUACUUUUUGCCUAUCAACUAAGUUGCUGAAGUUUGAAUUUAAUAUCAAUAUGUGACUUGAUUAUUAAUUUUUAUGAGUUUUUCUCUUUUGUCAGAGAUUUUUAAAAAGAACUAUAUGCUACACUUUCAAAAGUAAGGGGUUUGUCAUCAAAUUAGCAGAUAAUUUGUCCUCAGUGGUAACCAAAUAAUUGGGCUUCUGCCAUUAAACUGAAAGUGGAAUUAUUGAUUUAGAAUGUAUAUUGUUAUGUGAUUAACACAGUAUUUUAAGCAACAACCAAUAAUCUGAAUCUGGCUUUCUCAGGCAUUCAACUAAUCACGGGUCAAAGGCACAACUGAGCAUGUGCUGGCAGGGUCUGCCAGAUUCCUUAGGUCACCGGCAGUGUUUCGAGCUUUGCAAAAGAAAGAGAUUAAAAUAAAAGGCUGCAACUACCCAUUCUGCACUGAAGGAUUUUAAAUCACUAAGCCUUUUCUAAUAGGCUUGAGACUUAUUGAGGUAGAAACCAUAAAAAAUGAAGAAGAGAAAUUUAAUCCCUGAAAUAUUGAUUUGCACAUUAAUAUCAUAUAGGGUGAGGGCAAUUUGGCUUCAUGGAAAUGACACAUUGUCGACCCUUGGUGAAGUCAGAACCAAUCUGACUGCUGAACGUGUCUGAAUCUGAAGAGUUAUUAAGGGCUUUCCUUCUUGCCUUUAUGAGUUUUCCUCUGCCUACCAAUUCCAUGUUAAAUGUAUUAUCUUUAAGAAAUAAUUGUAAAACCUCAGGGGUUUUUCCAGCUAAUGGAAGGGAGACUAAACCACAUCAGAUUCUGAAAUGCAACAUUAAACCCUUGCAAUCAACAAAGCCACCUCAGUUCUGCUUUCAUCCAAUGCAGGCUAUAAUAUUGUUAUUGUGGGUAAUCUAAUUUCACUGUGUAAGUUUUAGCUUAUGGUUAAAGUGCCAAGAGAAUAUUAUGGGAUAUAUGAACUGAUUCACCCAGCCCCUCUGAUUCGAUUAGCCAUUUUGCUGCAUAAGGUUUUCAAAAUAUCAAUACAAAAUUAAAGAAAAUUAUUGAAAAAAAGAGACGUAUUUUGCACUAUUUUAUAAAACACAACUGCGUAAUUGAGGGAUAAGGUUCUAUUUAAUUGUGGAUGAAACACGCAAACGUCAAUGACAGUACUGCAUGAUAAUAAUCUAUACAAAUCUCAUUCUUAAUCAUUCCAAAAUGAACAACGUUUAAUAAGUUAACCUACUGUACUUGCCACUAUUGUUACCGGCCUGAAAAUUUUAUUAAGGCCAUUGACUAAAUAAACUUCGGACAAAAAAAAAGGGAUAUUGUAUCAACCAAAGUGUAUCUAUUAGUGUAUAAAACAAAUUUAAAAUGUUAGCACUUGGCACCGUUCUGUUACUGAAAAACAAUCUCAGUCUCGUCGUUCAAGAAAAAAAAGAGACGGGAAACAAAAACCGAUUCGCACAAAAUACCUCUGUCGCUAUACGUGUCCCUGUGUUCAUAUACAUAAUCCAUAUGUGCGUGUGUCUAUAUAGAUAAGUAUUUACAGCCACUGCAAAAUCCAUCGGAUGUUCCUUUUAGAAGUACAGAAAUGAUUGUAUCGCAGAUCAACUCGCCCGUCUAAGCCGCUGUAUGUAUUUUGAUUCCUUUUCGACCUUUAUAGACAUUAGAGGAAAAAAGUGAAAGUGUUUAUUUCUGAUGGUGAUAGG